rnacentral:rRNA from 1 species
GACGAACGCUGGCGGCGUGCUUAACACAUGCAAGUCGAACGGAAAGGCCCUGCUUUUGUGGGGUGCUCGAGUGGCGAACGGGUGAGUAACACGUGAGUAACCUGCCCUUGACUUUGGGAUAACUUCAGGAAACUGGGGCUAAUACCGGAUAGGAGCUCCUGCUGCAUGGUGGGGGUUGGAAAGUUUCGGCGGUUGGGGAUGGACUCGCGGCUUAUCAGCUUGUUGGUGGGGUAGUGGCUUACCAAGGCUUUGACGGGUAGCCGGCCUGAGAGGGUGACCGGCCACAUUGGGACGGAGAUACGGCCCAGACUCCAACGGGAGGCAGCAGUGGGGAAUAUUGCACAAGGGGCGGAAGCCUGAUGCAGCAACGCCGCGUGCGGGAUGACGGCCUUCGGGUGGUAAACCGCUUUCGCCUGUGACGAAGCGUGAGUGACGGUAAUGGGUAAAGAAGCACCGGCUAACUACGG